rnacentral:misc_RNA from 1 species
UUUCCGUAGGUAAGUUAUAUCGAAAACCACCCACCAUUACCCAGUGAAUUCAGUCACUAACAUCAAUCUCAGGUGAACCUGCGGAAGGAUCAUUACUGUGUAAUGCGCUGAGGUAUCCCCUCAGCUUGCACAUCCCCUGUGUAUCAUCUGGUUGCUUCGGCGGGUCACGAACUUCGUCGUCGCUUUUGGGCGGCGUGUACCCGCCGAUAGACUUUGAAACUCUGGUUUUCGAGAUGAUGUCCGAGCCAAAAUUGAAUCAACAAAACUUUCAACGAUGGAUCUCUUGGUUCCAGGAUCGAUGAAGAACGCAGC